GGGGAACGUGGCCCUUCGGUUCGGAAUAACUCAGGGAAACUUGAGCUAAUACCGGAUACGCCCUUUUGGGGAAAGGUUUACUGCCGAAGGAUCGGCCCGCGUCUGAUUAGCUAGUUGGUGGGGUAACGGCCUACCAAGGCGACUAUCAGUAGCUGGUCUGAGAGGAUGAUCAGCCACACUGGGACUGAGACACGGCCCAGACUCCUACGGGAGGCAGCAGUGGGGAAUAUUGGACAAUGGGCGCAAGCCUGAUCCAGCCAUGCCGCGUGAGUGAUGAAGGCCUUAGGGUUGUAAAGCUCUUUUGUCCGGGACGAUUAUGACGGUACCGGAAGAAUAAGCCCCGGCUAACUUCGUGCCAGCAGCCGCGGUAAUACUAACGGGGCUAGCGUUGCUCGGAAUCACUGGGCGUAAAGGGCGCGUAGGCGGCUUUUUAAGUCGGGGGUGAAAGCCUGUGGCUCAGCCACAGAAUUGCCUUCGAUACUGGACAGCUUGAGACCGGAAGAGGACAGCGGAACUGCGAGUGUAGAGGUGAAAUUCGUAGAUGUUCGCAAGAACACCAGUGGCGAAGGCGUCUGUCUGGUCCGGUUCUGACGCUGAGGCGCGAAAGCGUGGGGAGCAGACAGGAUUAGAUACCCUGGCAGUCCACGCCGCUACACGAUCAAUGCCAGGCGUUGGUCUGCUUGCAGGUC
rnacentral:rRNA from 1 species